GUCUAUAAAAUAACUUAGUAAAGGAUGCCACAUACUAUACUAUAUGCAAUUACAUAUGUGGACUUAAGAUAGCUUUGACAUUAUAAAUUGUUCCUUAGUUUGUUUAAAUGCAUGUUGAUUCACAAAAUAAUUUUAAAUGGAGAAACCGCAAAAGUCUCCCCUGUUUAUUAGCAAUUAUCCCUAUGAAAAACCUUCCUAACUUAAGUUAUGAAUUUUUCUUUGCAACCUGCUCAAUCAGGUCCUAACCAGUACAGUUUUGGGAUCUGUUUUUAAUCUAACAAAACCUAUCAUAUGCAUACAUUUGCAUACAGAUUCAAGCUUAACUUUCUUGUACAAAGUUUUAGGUAUACUUUUCAGGGUUCAUUUGGCACUGGNNNN
rnacentral:lncRNA from 1 species